ACAGUACAAACUGAGCAGGCGAUGAACCUUCGGGUCAUGGGGCCGGGCCGUGGAUUUGCGGCAGCAGAUGGUAUGCUUGAUUGCACAUCUGUGGGACAGU
rnacentral:ncRNA from 1 species